UACAGAGGUCUCAAGCGUUGUUCGGAUUCAUUGGGCGUAAAGGGUGCGUAGGUGGCGCGGUAAGUCGGGUGUAAAAUUUCGGAGCUUAACUCCGAAACUGCAUUCGAUACUGCCAUGCUUGAGGACUGGAGAGGAGACUGGAAUUUACGGUGUAGCAGUGAAAUGCGUAGAUAUCGUAAGGAAGACCAGUGGCGAAGGCGGGUCUCUGGACAGUUCCUGACACUGAGGCACGAAGGCCAGGGGAGCAAACGGG
rnacentral:rRNA from 1 species